UGGGUAGUCUACAUAUUAUUAGUAGAUAAUUAGAAAAAUCGCGAGCCGAUUUUUGGAGGAACCAGUCAUAACUGCGUCUCCUUGUAUAGCAUCCCGAAGUUUUGACCGACUUUACCCAAUCUGUUUUUUAAGCUAACAUCCGUAUUAAAAAGAAAAACAUUUGAAUCCGUGAACGGCAAAGCGACACACGUCCUGAAAAAAGGAAGAAAGAAGAAAACUUCCAUAACUGUUUCGAACAAUGAACGGUUAACAUGGAACGUUAUAAAGAUGCGAGCUGCUCCUCGUAGAAGAUGAAUAGCAGAAAGGAACGUUUAAUCUGGAGAGAACCAAAUGGAGAGAACGGGCAAAUGAUUUGCGGAGGGCAAACAAAAAAUCCCCACAUAUACAAUGACAUUGUUGUCAAAAUGAGAAGAAAACGGCAAAAUGGGUACAUCAGACGAAAGCCCUUCCACUUUGAGGCACUUUUCUGCUGUGCACCGCUUUAUGGGCAAUACUACGAUGAACACUGCUCCGAGAUUAAGCGUUCUUUUUCCGGAGACGUUAUGGACACAAUGCUAGUUUGCACUAACAUCUUCGAAAUUUCAUUAAUUGUUUUGAUAUUUCGGAGUAGUUUGAGAAAUUGCAAUUUAAGAUUUUUUAAAUAUAAGUAAAUAAUUAUUUCUUAGUAGCAGGGCAGCCAAUACCCGUAUUUGCUGCUUGCGUUCCAUACAACUAUCCAAUAAGCAAAUGAGCUUUUCGCAACAACGCCGGUAGUCCCGAUUAAAGCCGCCGUCUGUCUGGGCUAUUACGAUCGUAUCAUUCCCGGGGGCAGCUGCAAAUUUAAAUGUCACAUCUUAUCGGAGGGCUUACUCGUUCUAAUAAAGCAAAAACCAUUAAAUGACUAAUAUUAAA